GGGAACAUACCUUUUGGUUCGGAACAACACAGGGAAACUUGUGCUAAUACCGGAUAAGCCCUUACGGGGAAAGAUUUAUCGCCGAAAGAUUGGCCCGCGUCUGAUUAGCUAGUUGGUGAGGUAACGGCUCACCAAGGCGACGAUCAGUAGCUGGUCUGAGAGGAUGAUCAGCCACAUUGGGACUGAGACACGGCCCAAACUCCUACGGGAGGCAGCAGUGGGGAAUAUUGGACAAUGGGCGCAAGCCUGAUCCAGCCAUGCCGCGUGAGUGAUGAAGGCCCUAGGGUUGUAAAGCUCUUUUGUGCGGGAAGAUAAUGACGGUACCGCAAGAAUAAGCCCCGGCUAACUUCGUGCCAGCAGCCGCGGUAAUACGAAGGGGGCUAGCGUUGCUCGGAAUCACUGGGCGUAAAGGGUGCGUAGGCGGGUCUUUAAGUCAGGGGUGAAAUCCUGGAGCUCAACUCCAGAACUGCCUUUGAUACUGAAGAUCUUGAGUUCGGGAGAGGUGAGUGGAACUGCGAGUGUAGAGGUGAAAUUCGUAGAUAUUCGCAAGAACACCAGUGGCGAAGGCGGCUCACUGGCCCGAUACUGACGCUGAGC
rnacentral:rRNA from 1 species